rnacentral:rRNA from 1 species
UACGGAGGGUGCGAGCGUUGUCCGGAAUCAUUGGGCGUAAAGGGCGUGUAGGCGGCCCGGUAAGUCCGCUGUGAAAGUCCAGGGCUCAACCCUGGGAUGCCGGUGGAUACUGUCGGGCUCGAGUCCGGAAGAGGAGUGUGGAAUUCCUGGUGUAGCGGUGAAAUGCGCAGAUAAUCAGGAGGAACACCAAUGGCGAAAGGCAGCACUCUGGGACGUGACUGACGCUGAGACGCGAAAGCGUGGGGAGCAAACAGGAUUGAGAUAC